rnacentral:rRNA from 1 species
AUUGAACGCUGGCGGUAUGCCUAACACAUGCAAGUCGAACGAACCCUUCGGGGUUAGUGGCGCACGGGUGCGUAACGCGUGGGAAUCUGCCCUUUGCUUCGGAAUAACAGUUAGAAAUGACUGCUAAUACCGGAUGAUGUCUUCGGACCAAAGAUUUAUCGGCAAAGGAUGAGCCCGCGUAGGAUUAGGUAGUUGGUGGGGUAAAGGCCUACCAAGCCGACGAUCCUUAGCUGGUCUGUGAGGAUGAUCAGCCACACUGGGACUGAGACACGGCCCAGACUCCUACGGGAGGCAGCAGUGGGGAAUAUCGGACAAUGGACGCAAGUCUGAUCCAGCAAUGCCGCGUGAGUGAUGAAGGCCUUAGGGUUGUAAAGCUCUUUUACCAGGGAUGAUAAUGACAGUACCUGGAGAAUAAGCUCCGGCUAACUCCGUGCCAGCCGCCGCCGUAAUAC